CUUUUGUAUUACAAGGAUUUGUAAUACUUAGUCCGUGGGAAGAAAUGAAACAGUAAUAUAACAACUGAAUCAAAUUUGGAAAAAUAUAGACUAAUACUCCUUGGGAAACCGGAUAAAAAUGGUUGAGUUUAUGGGAAAGAGACUUGUAGGGAAAAAGAGUCAUUCCAAAGUGAGUUGCAAUGAAUGGAAGAUGACAAUGAAUCACACCAUAUGAAUCGAUGAUAUGAAAUGGCACGUAGAAUGGCCUUUGAGGUAUGGAAUAAUAACAGUCAAAGGUACUGUGAGUCAGAAGCCGUUCAUGUGAAACACACUUUGCAGAGCCCACCAUGGAGACUAACUGUCAGACCAGCUGGCACGCAACACAUGGGGAUGUAACAGGCUUUUCUCUAUUUCCCUUCUGUGUCAUCUCUCUGUACCUUUCUGUUCUUCCAUCCUCUCCUAACAGUCUAUUUUUGGCCCUUGUAGACCGUGUAAAUAUUAGGAAUCUCUGUAGGAAGUUUUGGAAUUUUAAACAACCAAAACAAAAUCUUUUAUAAAUUACACAGACAGCAAAUUCUGCCUUGGUACUAGUUUCCAUGCUAUGACCUGAGGAGCAUUCCUGAACUAUAGCUUUGCUGUCUCUUACAAUUCCUUAUGUUUCCUCCUUGAGGGUAAAGUUCAGGUGUAGGGAGGAUCUUGAUCAAUGGGCUAUUACAUAGGAUGACCUUCAUUUCAAUCUGGGAGGAAUUCUUCAUCAUCUCUCCUUGAUGAAAAGUGUUGAAUAUCAACGUCUCUGGAAUGGAAUUACUUCUUGAGAAAAGGCCAGAUGGACCAGAUCUAUAUUGCUUUCAUGGUGUAUUAGUUAUCUACUGCCUGUGAGAAAUUAUCCCAUAAAGAACUGGAAAACACAAAAAUUACUGAAUGGGAAAUCUGUGACUGGAAAUUUCAUGAACUGAAAUUUGGAAUUCAGUGGAUAGCACUUUACACACAGCUGAAUAGAGAAUUUGUGAAUUGGAAGAUAGAUGUGUGACCGGUCUCCUCCAAGUACAUGGUUAUAUUCUCCGUGACUAGGAUUGCAUCUGCGAAGCUUGGUUUCUCCACAAUGCCAGACUUUCAACAUCAGGAUUGUCCUGCCCAGCAAUGUCUACCAAGAGGGGGUAUGCUGUGUAAAGGAAGGGAGAGCAGAGAAGUCACGCAGGAAAGUGCAAGUAGCUGACUGUAUGAUUAACUGCUCUGAGUGCCACUGAGAGGUCAAAUAAAAUGGCCAAGAAAAUAAA